UCACAGCAGGUGGAGCUCUUUGAAGACAUCCCAAAACCUUUGGGAAUGUUGCCUAGUCGGCAGAAGUGAGUCACUGUGGGGCAAGCCUUUGAGGGACAUAGCCAAGCCUGGCUGCUGGUGCUGUUCUCUGCUGCCUACCGUUGGAUGACCAGCUGCCUUACCACACAGCCAACACUGAACAGAGGCCCUCCCCACCCAUGAGCAUGCCUUCCAUGCCAAGGUGCCUUCAUUUAUUCCUGGAAGAUAAUUUGUCACAAUGAUGAAGAAAAUAACUCAUACAGUGACGGAAGCUACUUCUUGACCUUGUACCAGAUUGUGACUGAGAUGGCGCCUCCCAUCCUAAGACAGCUAGAAGAUGGUGUCAACUCUUUUGACUUGUUUGUCCCAACUUUCUUCCAAUGGAUGUGCCUGAUUUCAAGAUCAUCCAAUGCUCACUUUCUACAGAAGAAAUCCUUCUGAAGAGGAAGUCAAGCCAGCUUCCUGGAAUUCAACAAAACACCAUUCUUGAGGGGAAAAGAAAACUUUGAACAAUGGAUGUCUGUGUCCACAGCUCAUAGCAGUGUUCUGAAAGUACUAAUUUGCUUUCAACCACACAACAAAGGCUGAUUCGCCUCCUUUCCAGUUGAUUCCAUGGCUUGUUGGAGCUUUAAAAAAAACGCAUUACAUAAAUCCUUAGAAAUCUUUUGUGAGGCUAAACUCGACAUUUUUAAGCAGUGAUCUUUUGCUCUCUUGACUCAAGGCACUGUGGCAAGCCCAUCUUUACCAAACCCGGGUGCUGUGGAGAGCUGUUUUUGUCAAGGAAAGCACCAAACAAAAGCUUCCUCCUCCUGAGAGCGGAUGUUUUAUCUUUUCCCAACACAGUGUCACUGCUAGUGACUCAUUUAGUGCCAACUCAUUUCGAAUGCAAAGCAACAAGAUUCACAAGCUCCUCAACUUAUGAUGGGGUCACAUCCCAAUAAACCCGUCAUAGACUGGAAAUAUUAUUUAGUCAAAAUGAAUUUAAUGCACCAUCCUAUAAAACCUCAUAGUUUAGCAGCACACGAUGCUCUAGGAUAUUAUGUGUUUACACCCAGGGUCAUGUGGCUGGUUGGGAGCUGUGGCUGGUUGCUGCUUCUGGCCAGCCUCGUGAGACAGUGUCACGUUGCAUCAUACUAAGCUGAGGAAAUGUUCA